CCAAGACUUGGAUGCUCAGACGGGAGCUGUCCAGCCCCUGCAUGAGGAAGAGGGCUUGCUUGCGUGUGGUAACCACCUUCUUUAACGCUCAGCCCCACCUGGCCUUUCUGGAGCCUUUCAAACCCAUGGAUCUCCUAGGAUAAUUUCAGCCUGACUUUGGAGUAGAAGAUGGAGAGAAGACAAGAUGUAUUAUUCAGGACAGGUUUGGUGUGGAGAUUACUGAUGAAGAGUUUGACUUACUACUUGACAGAAUCCCCCUUGAUGAAGAUGGAAAUGUCAGAGGCCCCCAGUUCAUGGCCAUGUUGGAUGCUUGCCACUCUUUUUCCACGUUUUCUCACUUCUUAGUAAUUUUUAUUCUUGUUUUUAAUACAGAGAAUGUACCCCUGAAAGUACUAGGUUUAUUUAAAUUUUCUGUUUAUUGCCUGGUAUCUCACUUACUAAUAUUUUAUAAAUGACAAAGGAUUUUUGAAAAAGCAUUGUUAACAAAAAGGUAGGAUUUUUGCAUGAUGAACUAUGGCAAUGCAUUUGAAAACAUUUAAUGCCUCAGUACCUAAAUAGUGGACGUGGGAGGAUAAUGUGUGACUGAGGUGACAAACGAGGCAUGUAAACUGCGUUUGCAGAGUUGGGAAGAAAAUUGCAAUAAGUGGCAAAAGUCAAAUCCUGAAGAUGGGUGGUGUUCAGUCCCCAGUCGCUCUAAACACUCCCCCACACACUGACCUUUUACCCCCUCACUCGCCUCCCACGGGACUCCCAUUUACAGGACUUCUUGCUACCUUCUUCCCAGAAGAUUCUGCCUGGACAGUAGAGCACACCUAUGACCAAUGAUUGUGUUAAAGGCGGAGCAAGAAUGCUUUCUGAAAUGUUCUCACUUUGUAUUUCUCUAUCAGGGAACCAAAGUUAUUUCUCUUUUCUAAAAUCUUUUCAUGGAUUUUGUAGGGUAGUUCAAGGCUUAAUUAUUUGAAAUUCUGAUCAGUAUUGACCAUUUUAUUCCUUAAGUACUUUAAGGCAUGUAGCAGUCCCAGGCAUCAUGAUUUUGGCUGAAGCCAUUGAAAGAUGGGUUGCUUCUUCCUAAAGAUGCUUCUUUUUUCCAGAGCAGUUUUGGAAUAUAACUGUCUUCAUCCAGCAUGCCUCCUGGACCAUCCUCCAAAUCUCAUGACUAUCUCUUUAGCCAUGAAACCCACCCAUAUUUUCUGUUGGUUCUUGAUAGCAGGGUGGAAGUUACCAACCUGGUUUGACUUGAAGGGCAUGAGAAGAGCAUGCUCCAAGUGAGAGAAUGCCCUCAGAGUCUCGGGGGCUGGCAGUAGGAAGCCCUCAAAGUGAAAAAGAACCAGGAGUGGUGAGGAGGUACCAGUAGGCCUUACCUAAAGGUGGGCAUCCCUGGCAGUGCAGUUUUUCUAUAGUAUUUCCCAGGCUUACGUGGUCUUCUUUCAUAGAGCAUCUUAGAGGCUGGCGUUCCACAGACUGUGGGAGGCUCCCUGAGUCAAAUUAGUUAAUCAGCUAAGGAGCCUUAAUUUUAGCGGAUCAAGAUGAAGUGCCUAAGAUAAUGAAAUGAAGGGGGGUGGUGUUUGUGUUUUGUUUUUGUUUGUUUUUUGAGAUGGAGUCUUGU